ACCAGACUCCUACGGGAGGCAGCAGUGGGGAAUAUUGGGCAAUGGACGCAAGUCUGACCCAGCAACGCCGCGUGAAGGAAGAAGGCUUUCGGGUUGUAAACUUCUUUUGACAGGGAAGAGCAGAAGACGGUACCUGUCGAAUAAGCCACGGCUAACUACGCGCCAGCAGCCGCGGUAAUACGUAGGUGGCAAGCGUUGUCCGGAUUUACUGGGUGUAAAGGGCGUGUAGCCGGGCUUACAAGUCAGAUGUGAAAUCCGGGGGCUCAACCCCCGAACUGCAUUUGAAACUGUAGGUCUUGAGUAUCGGAGAGGCAGGCGGAAUUCCUAGUGUAGCGGUGAAAUGCGUAGAUAUUAGGAGGAACACCAGUGGCGAAGGCGGCCUGCUGGACGACAACUGACGGUGAGGCGCGAAAGCGUGGGGAGCAAACAGGAUUAGAUACCCGCGUA
rnacentral:rRNA from 1 species